rnacentral:rRNA from 1 species
GGCGAAAGGGUGCGUAACACGUGGGUUAUUUGCCUGAGGGUUCAAUAUAACUUCGAGAAAUCGAAGCUAAUAGUGGAUGCUUGAGCAGCAAUGUUCAAAAAGCUGGGGACCGCAAGGCCCAGCGCCUUCAGAUAAGCCCGCGGCCUAUCAUGCUAGUUGGUGGGGUAAUGGCUCACCAAGGCGACGACGGGUAGCUGGUCUGAGAGGACGACCAGCCACACUGGAACUGAGACACGGUCCAGACACCUACGGGUGGCAGCAGUCGAGAAUUUUUCACAAUGGGGGCAACCCUGAUGGAGCGACGCCGCGUGGGGGAUGAAGGGCUUCGGCUCGUAAACCCCUGUCAUCUGUGAACAAUGCUGAAUCCGGAUAAUGGGUUCAGUUGAUAGUAGCAGAAGAGGAAGGGACGGCUAACUCUGUGCCAGCAGCCGCGGUAAUACAGAGGUCCCAAGCGUUGUUCGGAUUUACUGGGCGUAAAGGGUGCGUAGGCGGUCUGCGUAGUCUGGUGUGAAAUUUUGCGGCUCAACCGCAAAAGUGCAUUGGAAACUGGCAGGCUAGAGAGCUGGAGGGGAAGUUGGAAUUCUC